rnacentral:rRNA from 1 species
GAUGAACGCUGACAGAAUGCUUAACACAUGCAAGUCUUUGGUGAAGCUGUGCUUGCACAGCCUAGCCAAGGCGGACGGGUGAGUAACGCGUAAGGAACUUGCCCUGCAGUCAGGGAUAACAGACGGAAACGACUGAUAAGACCUGGUAAAGUCAGGCGGACUCAUGUCCAGCCUGAUGAAAAGAGAUGCUGCAGGAGAGCCUUGCGUCCUAUUAGCUUGUUGGUGGGGUAACGGCCCACCAAGGCAAUGAUAGGUAGCCGGCCUGAGAGGGUGGACGGCCACAAGGGGACUGAGAUACGGCCAUUACUCCUACGGGAGGCAGCAGUGGGGAAUAUUGGACAAUGGGGGCAACCCUGAUCCAGCAAUUCUGUGUGCACGAUGAAGGUUUUCGGAUUGUAAAGUGCUUUCAGCAGGGAAGAAAAAAAUGACGGUACCUGCAGAAGAAGCGACGGCUAAAUACGUG